rnacentral:misc_RNA from 1 species
UGUCACUCACUUUUGUGAUGUGAUUCUGAUUGUUCUAGAAAAGAUACUAAGUCUGACGAUUUUUGUUAGAAUAAUUAUUAGGUCUUGCAUUUGUAAUAUUCUUUAACUACAGCAGUUCUGUGUAUUAUUGUGUUGGACUGAAAUGCCUUUGAGAAAUUUUGACCGUUGAUGCCUGCCUAAAAUAACCCGAGUGAACCAGAGUGCCUUCUAACAGCCUGUUUUGAGCGCGUGUUCCCAUUCGACGAGGAGGACGGGUCCGGCGCGUGGAGCGAGCUAGCGGCGCGGCACCCCGACAUCGCGGCGCGGCU